GAAGUUGUAUAAGAUUAUUUAAAAUUUUGAAAAGUAUAACAUAAUUAGAAAUACUUAUUAUUUUAUUCCACAUUUUGCAGGAAACUUCAACUUCUCUGCAUCAAUUCAGCAUCAGAGAAUUCAAUUUAAAGAGGCCAGCAGAGUGUCUGGUAAGAUCAACAAAUGAACCAGCUCCAAACAAGGUGUUAAUGGCUGAUGUCAAGUCAGUGAGAGCAUGGAGAAGGGCCACCAUUUGUUUGCCAGUGUUUCUUCUUCCUGAGAUCUGCUGUCUUGGCUCUUGUGUGAUCAAGGCCAGUGUCCAGAACAUAAGCCUUGAUCUCAGAAGCGAUGUUGAACUCUUUGGACCCCAUCUGAUUCUCCAUGAUGCAGUGGGUCCUCUAGGACUUCUAAUCAACUCCAGAUGUAGACCAGACCAGACUAGACAAGACAUUGUGAACUUUCCUGCUUUGUAUCUUGUGUUGGGUUGCCUAAAUCUUGGUUUAGCGUCUUGCAGAAGUGAAGAAGAAUUCUCUACCCUAGCUCAUGAUACACUAUUACAUGGCCACAAAGCUGGUCUGCCUCAUGCUGCCAGUAUCAUAUAAUGAUCUUAGUGAAAUGGCAUAUUUUCUCGUGAUGUUGCUUUCUGUCUUUAAGAGGCAUCAUUGCACAGAACUUUGGCACAAAACCUCAGGUGGAGGAAAGAGCUGGAGGCCAGUAUACAUUCCACCUGUGCUCAUACAACUGCCGCUGGUCCCUACUUGCAUGAAUCACAUUUUUCUCUCCUUAGAAUAUGUUAGUUCAUAUGGGGUUCUUAAUUUUCUCAUGCCAACAUUGUCUUUGAGGCCUCACCCACUGUGCUCAGACAGGUGUGGAUUUGUAUGAUGCACAUGGCUCAAGUCCCUAAAUGGAGGUCUUUUUCUUCUACUACAAAAGAAUGCAUUUAACUUAAAUAUGGUUCUGAUUUCUUCCAGAGUUCAAGACACAGAGAGGCUUUUUGUCAUGCAGGUAAUUUAUUUUGGUGAACAGUUAUCCACAAAACUUGCAGUCAAUAAAGUAUUUUUUCAUAGUACA
rnacentral:lncRNA from 1 species